rnacentral:rRNA from 1 species
CCUACGGGAGGCAGCAGUGAGGAAUAUUGGUCAAUGGGCGGGAGCCUGAACCAGCCAAGUCGCGUGAGGGAAGACGGUCCUAUGGAUUGUAAACCUCUUUAGGCGGGGAGCAAUGCCGGGCACGUGUGCCCGGAGGGAGAGUACCCGCAGAAUAAGCAUCGGCUAACUCCGUGCCAGCAGCCGCGGUAAUACGGAGGAUGCGAGCGUUAUCCGGAUUUAUUGGGUUUAAAGGGUGCGCAGGCGGAAGAUCAAGUCAGCGGUAAAAUUGAGAGGCUCAACCUCUUCGAGCCGUUGAAACUGGUUGUCUUGAGAUGUCGAGAGGUAUGCGGAAUGCGCAGUGUAGCGGUGAAAUGCUUAGAUAUUGCGCAGAACUCCGAUUGCGAAGGCAGCAUACCGGCGGCGAUCUGACGCUGAGGCACGAAAGCGUGGGUAUCGAACAGGAUUAGAUACCCGGGUAGUC